CUCACCCACUCACCCACCCACUCACCCACUCACCCACUCACUCACCUAGUGGUGAGGCGACUUGGGGUGACCUGUGAACUCUACACGGAGACUCUCAGUGGGUGGCAGAGGGCUCAGACUCGGUGUCGCUUCGAUCACGGGGUCACAGAGUGUGUAGUGGCUACGAUCCGUGGCGUGAUAGAGAUCACCAAGCCGGACAUCAGGAAGGUGAUUGUCAUCGGAGCUCCUCCAGACAUGGACAGCAUCUGCCUGGCUCUGGGUCGUGCCGGCAGAGAUGGAGAGGCAGCUUCUGCCAUGGUGAUGUGGGCCCCAGCUGACAUCUCUAGAAGCAGG